rnacentral:misc_RNA from 1 species
GAGAAGGGUUUGGGUGUGGAAGUAGAGAGGAGUGAAGAUGGAUCAUUUAGCAGGGAUGGCAUUGCCAAGGCUUUGAGACUAGCAAUGGUGUCGGAGGAAGGGAAAGAAAUGAGGGCACGUGCAAGUGAAGCUGCAGAGAUUUUUGGAAAUCACAAGUUGCAUCAGGAAUAUUAUAUUGGUAAAUUUGUGGAGUUCCUGAGAGG